UACGUAGGGGGCAAGCGUUGUCCGGAUUUAUUGGGCGUAAAGCGCUCGCAGGUGGUUCGUCGCGUCGUGCGUGAAAGACCCCGGCUCAACUGGGGGAGGUCGUGCGAUACGGGCGAACUGGAGGCCAGUAGGGGGAUGCGGAAUUCCGGGUGUAGUGGUGGAAUGCGUAGAGAUCCGGAGGAACACCAGCGGCGAAGGUGGCAUCCUGGACUGGUCCUGACACUCAUGAGCGAAAGCGUGGGGAGCGAUCCGG
rnacentral:rRNA from 1 species